rnacentral:lncRNA from 1 species
UCCCUGACUUGUUUCCCUUUGUCACCAUGGUUUGUUGGCUUGUGGGUUCCGUACUUGGCUCCCCCACCGGUAACCGGCCAAGUCCUUUGAGUCUUGGACUUGGAUGACUCGCCUUGGUGCUUGACAUGCCCUUUGUCAGCACUAGAGUAUUCCUCCAAUGUGGCAGCAACCUUGAGUGCCGUCGAGAUGUCAUCGACCUUGGACCGUCUUAAUUCUUGAGCCGCCCAUGG